rnacentral:rRNA from 1 species
GCGUCCUACGGGGCGCAGCAGUGAGGAAUAUUGGUCAAUGGUCGGGAGACUGAACCAGCCAAGCCGCGUGAGGGAAGACGGCCCUAUGGGUUGUAAACCUCUUUUGUCGGAGAACAAAACCCGGGACGUGUCCCGGACUGCGUGUAUCCGAAGAAAAAGCAUCGGCUAACUCCGUGCCAGCAGCCGCGGUAAUACGGAGGAUGCGAGCGUUAUCCGGAUCUAUUGGGUUUAAAGGGUGCGUAGGCGGUCCGUUAAGUCAGCGGUAAAAUUGCGGGGCUCAACCCCGUCGAGCCGUUG